rnacentral:rRNA from 1 species
UACGGAGGGUGCAAGCGUUACUCGGAAUUACUGGGCGUAAAGCGCGUGUAGGUGGUUUCGUAAGUCUGGUGUGAAAUCCCGGGGCUCAACCCCGGAAGUGCAUUGGAUACUGCGAGACUAGAGUGCAGGAGAGGAUGGCGGAAUUCCAGGUUUAGAGGUGAAAUUCGUAGAUAUCUGGAGGAACAUCGGAGGCGAAGGCGGCCAUCUGGACUGCAACUGACACUGAGACGCGAAAGCGUGGGGAGCAAACAGG